GAGCGCAGAGAGGCGGAGAAUCGAAGUCGGAAAACAGAUUUAAACCAAGUUUGACUCAUUGCCUCUGUUUGCCAGUACUGUGUGAAAAUGUUACUGAAGAGGUUUGGAUGCUAAAACGAAGUCUGGAGCUGCUGUAUUUUUUGUCGAACACGAGUGAGACUGGGCUGAACACACCUGCGGCGUGAGGGUUUACUCGUUCAGCUGCUGCAGCGUGGACAGGAACACCAGCUCUCACCUUACCAACCAAACAGGUGUCACCACUUCAUCCAUGAUUGCAGCCUUCGUACAAUGAAGACAUUUGAAACCAAGACAGAGGCCUCCAGGCUUCAAACGUCAACCAUGAAAUCACAGAGAGAUGAGACAGACAUGAAGACAUUUCCAGAAGCCAUUCUGCUGCUGUCGUCUUCUCCUCCUGCAGAGACAAGAACAUGUUAAUCACAGAGACUGAUCAGUAAAUCUAUUUUUCCUUUGCUAAACUGACCUUAUUCAUUGUUGAUACCUAAUUAUGGUGAUUUAAACUAAACUUUAUACAAGUCAUUCAGUAUCACAUAUUUUAGAGUUUUUUUUUUCCGAAUCAUUACAUAGUACUGAAAUAGUUCUGAUGCUAUAAAAAAAUAAGAAAAUACAGUAAUUAUUACAUAGUUAUUUCUCAAAUUUCACAGAGAUUGCUAAACAUGAACCAUGUAAUAAAUACAGGAAAACAAUUUAAACUGUACUGUUACUACAAUGAUGUUUAAUAAGUUAUUUUACUGAAAUUAUUUUUCAUGACACAUGCUAUUGUAUUUUUUUUAACAACGUAAUAUCCUGUGGUAUCUUUUAAUGAUACUUAAUAUCAGUACUCAAAUCCAAAGUAUUUCUUGUAUUACUAUAUAAUAUGUUUUAUGUCUUGCCUUGUUUAUAUCAUGCCUUUGCAUAUUUUUGUUGCUGCAACACUGAAUUUCCCUGCUGUGGGACUAAUAAAGGAUUACCUUGCUCUCAAAUAAAUACUGUCUGUUUAAUAUUGUAUGAAAGUGAAUAUUUCUAGCCAGAGGUUAGGGUUACAGCUAUUAGCCAGUUACGUUUAGCCAGAGACUAGGGUUUGGUUAACACCUGUGACAUUUCUUGACCAAUUUCCAUGCCUUAUCAUACUAUGACAUUUUUUGAUGGUUUUUGACAUCUUAAUAUACUAUGACAUUUUUUGACCAUUUUUCAUGCCUUAUCAUACUAUGACAUUUUUUGACUAUUUUUCAUGCCUUACUAUACUAUGACAUUUUUUGAUGCCAUACCAUACUAUGACAUUUUUUGACCAUUUUUCAUGCCUUGCUGUACUAUGACAUUUUUUGAUGGUUUUUGACAUCUUACUAUACUAUGACAUUUUUUGACCAUUUUACAUGCCUUACUAUACUAUGACAUUUUUUGACCAUUUUUCAUGCCUUACUAUACUAUGACAUUUUUUGAUGGUUUUUGACAUCUUACUAUACUAUGACAUUUUUUGACCAAUUUCCAUGCCUUAUCAUACUAUGACAUUUUUUGACUAUUUUUCAUGCCUUACUAUACUAUGACAUUUUUUGAUGCCAUACCAUACUAUGACAUUUUUUGACCAUUUUUCAUGCCUUACUAUACUAUGACAUUUUUUGAUGGUUUUUGACAUCUUAAUAUACUAUGACAUUUUUUGAUGGUUUUUGACAUCUUACUAUACUAUGACAUUUUUUGAUGCCAUACCAUACUAUGACAUUUUUUGACCAUUUUUCAUGCCUUACUAUACUAUGACAUUUUUUUGAUGGUUU